rnacentral:rRNA from 1 species
GGGUUGUGAGGUUAAGCGACUAAGCGUACACGGUGGAUGCCCUGGCAGUCAGAGGCGAUGAAGGACGUGCUAAUCUGCGAUAAGCGUCGGUAAGGUGAUAUGAACCGUUAUAACCGGCGAUUUCCGAAUGGGGAAACCCAGUGUGUUUCGACACACUAUCAUUAACUGAAUCCAUAGGUUAAUGAGGCGAACCGGGGGAACUGAAACAUCUAAGUACCCCGAGGAAAAGAAAUCAACCGAGAUUCCCCCAGUAGCGGCGAGCGAACGGGGAGCAGCCCAGAGCCUGAAUCAGUGUGUGUGUUAGUGGAAGCGUCUGGAAAGGCGUGCGAUACAGGGUGACAGCCCCGUACACAAAAAUGCACAUGCUGUGAGCUCGAUGAGUAGGGCGGGACACGUGGUAUCCUGUCUGAAUAUGGGGGGACCAUCCUCCAAGGCUAAAUACUCCUGACUGACCGAUAGUGAACCAGUACCGUGAGGGAAAGGCGAAAAGAACCCCGGCGAGGGGAGUGAAAAAGAACCUGAAACCGUGUACGUACAAGCAGUGGGAGCACGCUUAGGCGUGUGACUGCGUACCUUUUGUAUAAUGGGUCAGCGACUUAUAUUCUGUAGCAAGGUUAACCGAAUAGGGGAGCCGAAGGGAAACCGAGUCUUAACUGGGCGUUAAGUUGCAGGGUAUAGACCCGAAACCCGGUGAUCUAGCCAUGGGCAGGUUGAAGGUUGGGUAACACUAACUGGAGGACCGAACCGACUAAUGUUGAAAAAUUAGCGGAUGACUUGUGGCUGGGGGUGAAAGGCCAAUCAAACCGGGAGAUAGCUGGUUCUCCCCGAAAGCUAUUUAGGUAGCGCCUCGUGAAUUCAUCUCCGGGGGUAGAGCACUGUUUCGGCAAGGGGGUCAUCCCGACUUACCAACCCGAUGCAAACUGCGAAUACCGGAGAAUGUUAUCACGGGAGACACACGGCGGGUGCUAACGUCCGUCGUGAAGAGGGAAACAACCCAGACCGCCAGCUAAGGUCCCAAAGUCAUGGUUAAGUGGGAAACGAUGUGGGAAGGCCCAGACAGCCAGGAUGUUGGCUUAGAAGCAGCCAUCAUUUAAAGAAAGCGUAAUAGCUCACUGGUCGAGUCGGCCUGCGCGGAAGAUGUAACGGGGCUAAACCAUGCACCGAAGCUGCGGCAGCGACGCUGAUGCGUUGUUGGGUAGGGGAGCGUUCUGUAAGCCUGCGAAGGUGUGCUGUGAGGCAUGCUGGAGGUAUCAGAAGUGCGAAUGCUGACAUAAGUAACGAUAAAGCGGGUGAAAAGCCCGCUCGCCGGAAGACCAAGGGUUCCUGUCCAACGUUAAUCGGGGCAGGGUGAGUCGACCCCUAAGGCGAGGCCGAAAGGCGUAGUCGAUGGGAAACAGGUUAAUAUUCCUGUGCUUGGUGUUACUGCGAAGGGGGGACGGAGAAGGCUAUGUUGGCCGGGCGACGGUUGUCCCGGUUUAAGCGUGUAGGCUGGUUUUCCAGGCAAAUCCGGAAAAUCAAGGCUGAGGCGUGAUGACGAGGCACUACGGUGCUGAAGCAACAAAUGCCCUGCUUCCAGGAAAAGCCUCUAAGCAUCAGGUAACAUCAAAUCGUACCCCAAACCGACACAGGUGGUCAGGUAGAGAAUACCAAGGCGCUUGAGAGAACUCGGGUGAAGGAACUAGGCAAAAUGGUGCCGUAACUUCGGGAGAAG